CCAAGUUUUUAAGGGCGCACGGUGGAUGCCUUGGCACCAGGAACCGAUGAAGGACGUGGGAGGCCACGAUAGGCCCCGGGGAGUCGUCAACCAGGCUUUGAUCCGGGGGUGUCCGAAUGGGGAAACCCGGCAGUCGUCAUGGGCUGUCACCCGCUGCUGAACACAUAGGCAGUGUGGAGGGAACGCGGGGAAGUGAAACAUCUCAGUACCCGCAGGAAGAGAAAACAACCGUGAUUCCGGGAGUAGUGGCGAGCGAAACCGGAUGAGGCCAAACCGUAUACGUGUGAGACCCGGCAGGGGUUGCGUGUGCGGGGUUGUGGGAUCUCUCUUCCACGGUCUGCCGGCCGUGGGACGAGUCAGAAACCGUUGAUGUAGGCGAAGGACAUGCGAAAGGUCCGGCGUAGAGGGUAAGACCCCCGUAGUCGAAACGUCAGCGGCUCGUUUGAGAGACACCCAAGUAGCACGGGGCCCGAGAAAUCCCGUGUGAAUCUGGCGGGACCACCCGCUAAGCCUAAAUAUUCCCUGGUGACCGAUAGCGGAUAGUACCGUGAGGGAAUGGUGAAAAGUACCGCGGGAGCGGAGUGAAAUAGUACCUGAAACCGUGUGCCUACAAGCCGUGGGAGCGUCGGGCAUCAAGCUUGCUUGGUGUCUCGUGACUGCGUGCCUUUUGAAGAAUGAGCCUGCGAGUUUGCGGUGUGUUGCGAGGUUAACCCGGGUGGGGAAGCCGUAGCGAAAGCGAGUCCGAACAGGGCGAUUUUAGUAGCACGCUCAAGACCCGAAGCGGAGUGAUCUAGCCAUGGGCAGGUUGAAGCGGCUGUAAGAGGUCGUGGAGGACCGAACCCACCAGGGUUGAAAACCUGGGGGAUGACCUGUGGUUAGGGGUGAAAGGCCAAUCAAACUCCGUGAUAGCUGGUUCUCCCCGAAAUGCAUUUAGGUGCAGCGUCGUGUGUUUCUUGCCGGAGGUAGAGCACUGGAUAGGCGAUGGGCCCUACCGGGUUACUGACCUUAGCCAAACUCCGAAUGCCGGUAAGUGAGAGCGCGGCAGUGAGACUGUGGGGGAUAAGCUCCAUGGUCGAGAGGGAAACAGCCCAGAGCAUCGACUAAGGCCCCUAAGCGUACGCUAAGUGGGAAAGGAUGUGGAGUCGCACAGACAACCAGGAGGUUGGCUUAGAAGCAGCCACCCUUGAAAGAGUGCGUAAUAGCUCACUGGUCUAGUGAUUCCGCGCCGACAAUGUAGCGGGGCUCAAGCGUACCGCCGAAGUCGUGUCAUUGCAGCAAUACGGCCAACGCCGGCUGUGAUGGGUAGGGGAGCGUCGUGUGCCGGGUGAAGCAGCCGCGGAAGCGAGUUGUGGACGGUUCACGAGUGAGAAUGCAGGCAUGAGUAGCGAUACAAACGUGAGAAACGUUUGCGCCGAUUGACUAAGGGUUCCUGGGUCAAGCUGAUCUGCCCAGGGUAAGUCGGGACCUAAGGCGAGGCCGACAGGCGUAGUCGAUGGAUAACCGGUUGAUAUUCCGGUACCCGCUGUGAAGCGUCAAACAUCGAGCAUCGUGAUGCUAAGGCCGUGAAGCCGCCCUGAUCUCUUCGGAGUUGAGGGGAGUGGUGGAGCCGCCGAACCAAGCGGUUAGUAGGUGAGUGAUGGGGUGACGCAGGAAGGUAGUCCAUCCCGGGCGGUGGUUGUCCCGGGGUAAGGGUGUAGGACGUCAGGUAGGUAAAUCCGCCUGGCAAUAGUCUGAGACCUGAUGCCGAGCCGAUUGUGGUGAAGUGGAUGAUCCUAUGCUGUCGAGAAAAGCCUCUAGCGAGUUUCAUGGCGGCCCGUACCCUAAACCGACUCAGGUGGUCAGGUAGAGAAUACCGAGGCGUUCGGGUGAACUAUGGUUAAGGAACUCGGCAAAAUGCCCCCGUAACUUCGGGAGAAGGGGGGCCACACCCGGUGACGAGAUUUACACUCCGAGCUGGGGGUGGCCGCAGAGACCAGCGAGAAGCGACUGUUUACUAAAAACACAGGUCCGUGCGAAGCCGUAAGGCGAUGUAUACGGACUGACGCCUGCCCGGUGCUGGAACGUUAAGGGGACCGGUUAGUCACAUUUCGGUGUGGCGAAGCUGAGAACUUAAGCGCCAGUAAACGGCGGUGGUAACUAUAACCAUCCUAAGGUAGCGAAAUUCCUUGUCGGGUAAGUUCCGACCUGCACGAAUGGCGUAACGACUUCUCGACUGUCUCAACCAUAGGCCCGGUGAAAUUGCACUACGAGUAAAGAUGCUCGUUUCGCGCAGCAGGACGGAAAGACCCCGGGACCUUUACUACAGUUUGAUAUUGGUGUUCGGUUCGGCUUGUGUAGGAUAGCUGGGAGACUUUGAAGCUCGCACGCCAGUGUGGGUGGAGUCGUCGUUGAAAUACCAGUCUGGUCGUGCUGGAUGUCUAACCUGGGUCCGUGAUCCGGAUCAGGGACAGUGUCUGAUGGGUAGUUUAACUGGGGCGGUUGCCUCCUAAAGAGUAACGGAGGCGCCCAAAGGUUCCCUCAGCCUGGUUGGCAAUCAGGUGUUGAGUGUAAGUGCACAAGGGAGCUUGACUGUGAGACCGACGGGUCGAGCAGGGACGAAAGUCGGGACUAGUGAUCCGGCGGUGGCUUGUGGAAGCGCCGUCGCUCAACGGAUAAAAGGUACCCCGGGGAUAACAGGCUGAUCUUCCCCAAGAGUCCAUAUCGACGGGAUGGUUUGGCACCUCGAUGUCGGCUCGUCGCAUCCUGGGGCUGGAGUCGGUCCCAAGGGUUGGGCUGUUCGCCCAUUAAAGCGGUACGCGAGCUGGGUUUAGAACGUCGUGAGACAGUUCGGUCCCUAUCCGCUGUGCGCGUAGGAGUCUUGAGAAGGGCUGUCCCUAGUACGAGAGGACCGGGACGGACGAACCUCUGGUGUGCCAGUUGUUCUGCCAAGGGCAUGGCUGGUUGGCUACGUUCGGGAGGGAUAACCGCUGAAAGCAUCUAAGCGGGAAGCCUGCUUCGAGAUGAGGACUCCCACCCCCUUGAGGGGUUAAGGCUCCCAGUAGACGACUGGGUUGAUAGGCCGGAUCUGGAAGCACCGUGAGGUGUGGAGGUGACCGGUACUAAUAGGCCGAGGGCUUGUCCUC
rnacentral:rRNA from 1 species